rnacentral:rRNA from 1 species
CCUUUUCGAAGGGAUAGGGUCGGUUUGGCCGGAUUUCACACAGGUGUUGCAUGGCUGUCGUCAGCUCGUGUCGUGAGAUGUUGGGUUAAGUCCCGCAACGAGCGCAACCCUCAUCCUUAGUUACCAUCAGGUUAUGCUGGGGACUUUAAGGAAACUGCCAGUGAUAAACUGGAGGAAGGUGGGGAUGAUGUCAAGUCAUCAUGGCCCUUAUGGAGUGGGCUACACACGUGCUACAAUGGUGAUUACAAUGGGCUGCAAGGUCGCAAGGCUGAGCUAAUCCUAAAAAAUCAUCUCAGUUCGGAUUGUUCUCUGCAACUCGAGAGCAUGAAGUUGGAAUCGCUAGUAAUCGUGGAUCAGCAUGCCACGGUGAAUACGUUCUCGGGUCUUGUACACACUGCCCGUCACGCCAUGGGAAUUG